rnacentral:rRNA from 1 species
UACGAAGGGUGCAAACGUUGCUCGGAAUUAUUGGGCGUAAAGCGCACGUAGGCGGCUUUGUAAGUCGGAUGUGAAAUCCCUCGGCUUAACCGAGGACGUGCAUCCGAAACUGCGAGGCUCGAGUAUGGAAGAAGGUCGCAGAAUUCCCGGUGUAGAGGUGAAAUUCGUAGAUAUCGGGAGGAAUACCAGUGGCGAAGGCGGCGACCUGGGCCAAUACUGACGCUGAGGUGCGAAAGCGUGGGGAGCAAACAGG